UCCCAUGUGGCUCAGUUGGUAGAGCAUGGUGUUUGCAAUGCCAGGAUUGUGGGUUCGAUUCCCACGGGGGAC
rnacentral:tRNA from 1 species